rnacentral:rRNA from 1 species
UACGUAGGGUGCGAGCGUUGUCCGGAAUUACUGGGCGUAAAGAGCUCGUAGGUGGUUUGUCGCGUUGUCCCGGUGAAAACUCACAACUCAAUUGUGGGCGUGCGGGCGAUACGGGCAGACUGGAGUACUGCAGGGGAGACUGGAAUUCUGGUGUAGCGGUGGAAUGCGCAGAUAUCAGGAGGAACACCGGUGGCGAAGGCGGGU